rnacentral:rRNA from 1 species
CCAGAAAGGGACGGCUAANUACGUGCCAGCAGCCGCGGUAAUACGUAGNUCCCGAGCGUUGUCCGGAUUUAUUGGGCGUAAAGCGAGCGCAGGCGGUUAGAUGAGUNUGAAGUUAAAGGCUGUGGCUUAACCAUAGUACGCUUUGGAAACUGUUUAACUNGAGUGCAGAAGGGGAGAGUGGAAUUCCAUGUGUAGCGGUGAAAUGCGUAGAUAUAUGGAGGAACACCGGUGGCGAAAGCGGCUCUCUGGUCUGUAACUGACGCUGAGGCUCGAAAGCGUGGGGAGCGAACAGGAUUAGAUACCCUGGUAGUCCACGCCGUAAACGAUGAGUGCUAGGUGUUAGGCCCUUUCCGGGGCUUAGUGCCGCAGCUAACGCAUUAAGCACUCCGCCUGGGGAGUACGACCGCAAGGUUGAAACUCAAAGGAAUUGACGGGGGCCCGCACAAGCGGUGGAGCAUGUGGUUUAAUUCGAAGCAACGCGAAGAACCUUACCAGGUCUUGACAUCCCGAUGCCCGCUCUAGAGAUAGAGUUUUACUUCGGUACAUCGGUGACAGGUGGUGCAUGGUUGUCGUCAGCUCGUGUCGUGAGAUGUUGGGUUAGUCUCGCAACGAGCGCAACCCUUAUUGUUAGUUGCCAUCAUUCAGUUGGGCACUCUAGCGAGACUGCCGGUAAUAAACCGGAGGAAGGUGGGGAUGACGUCAAAUCAUCAUGCCCCUUAUGACCUGGGCUACACACGUGCUACAAUGGCUGGUACAACGAGUCGCAAGUCGGUGACGGCAAGCUAAUCUCUUAAAGCCAGUCUCAGUUCGGAUUGUAGGCUGCAACUCGCCUACAUGAAGUCGGAAUCGCUAGUAAUCGCGGAUCAGCACGCCGCGGUGAAUACGUUCCCGGGCCUUGUACACACCGCCCGUCACACCACGAGAGUUUGUAACACCCGAAGUCGGUGAGGUA